rnacentral:tRNA from 1 species
AGAAGCGUGGCCUAGUGGAGAGAGCAUGGGCUGGGAGUCAGAAAGACCUGGGUUCUAAUCCCAGCUCUUCCA